UUUUUUCGAUGGAAGCAAUCUCUUUCUCUACUUAACCUAAUCAGUUAAGAAUCUGCAGUUCUAUUCUUAUGAUAUAACCUGAUUAUGUGUUGUGGUACUAACCUCUCUCUCUUUUCUAUUUUUGAUUUCAUAUUUUAAUGGAGAAAAGACACGAAGCUCAUCCAGUUGAUAAAGGGUUAGAGAUCAUUAUUUUUCAAAGAAACUUAUUCUGUAGAAGAAAUCCCUUCAAUGGUAUGAUUCAAAAUAUAAAAUUAUUUUGCCAAAAUUAAACUAUCACAAUCAGGGGGAUGUGGAUGGGUAGCUUUGUGUAUAUAUGUGAUAGUCUGGCUGACUUGGAUAAAUCAGUUAUGAUUUUAAAGUGAUGAGGAAUGCAACAGCCCCAAAUUUAAUUAUUUAUUCUUUAGAUUUUUCAAUUGGGUAGAAAUUGAUAAAAUUGAGGUUUGUAUUAAUACUAGGGGAUUUGUGGAAUGCUAGGUACUUUAUAUAAGUAUUUGAGGUAUUUACUAUUUAGUAAUUUUGCUCAAGUUAUUGGGGUAAUUUGGUCUUUUACAACUUUCUUGUUUCGUUAAGGUUUUGUUUUUUGUCCCCUUUAAAUAUGCGUUGUAGUCCGUAAGGUUAGACAGACUACUAUUAUUCAUCUUGAGAGUUCAUAAAAUUGAGUGCUCAGUAGCAAUUGAUCAAAAUGAACUUUUUUCCCCUAUAUUUUUUUCAUCCUUUUUCUGUUUGCUGUCCUGCAUCAUGCAGUAAAAUUUGUGAUUCAUAUAACCUGAUUUGGAUGCUAUAGUCAAUUUCUUAUCUAUAUACAUAUACUUCUUUUAUUCAAUGGAGAAAGGGUGUGAUGCUAGGGAUCAUUGUUAUUUAAACUAUAUAUGAUAUGGAGCACGACAAGGUAAUAUUUUUUUAAAUCUGUUAUAGACCCGACUUACUACUUUCAUAAAUUGUGAUUGCUAACUCUAAGUGGAGCUGUGGAGAGCAGAAGGAAC
rnacentral:lncRNA from 1 species